CGCUGCGGUGGCAGGCGUGCUGGCCGGCGUGGAGAGCCGCCAGGGCUCUAUCAAGGGGCUGGUGUACUCCAGCAACUUCCAGCCUCGAUGACUUACGAGCCCUCAAGGGGAAGCAUUUUCUCCUGGACCCCUUGAUGCCGGAGCUGCUGGUGUUUCCCGCCCAGACAGAUCUGCAUGAACACCCACUGUACCGGGCCGGACACCUCAUUCUGCAGGACAGGGCCAGCUGUCUCCCAGCCAUGCUGCUGGACCCCCGCCAGGCUCCCAUGUCAUGGAUGCCUGUGCCACCCCAGGCAAUAAAGACCAGUCACUUGGCUGCUCUUCUGAAGAACCAAGGGUAUGCCGAGCAGACAGCUGGAGGAGCCCGGGGCAGGGACACCUAGCCCGGUGCGUCUGCAUGCCCUGGCAGGGUUCCAGCAGCGAGCCCUGUGCCACGCGCUCACUUUCCCUUCCCUGCAGCGGCUCGUCUACUCCAUGUGCUCCCUCUGCCAGGAGGAGAAUGAAGACAUGGUACAAGAUGCGCUGCAGCAGAACCCGGGCGCCUUCAGGCUAGCUCCCGCCCUGCCUGCCCGGCCCCACCGAGGCCUGAGCACGUUCCCGGGUGCCGAGCACUGCCUCCGGGCUUCCCCCAAGACCACGCUUAGCGGUGGCUUCUUCGUUGCUGUAAUUGAACGGGUCGAGAUGCCGACGUGAGUGAGUGGGGGCAUGCUUGGGAGGCGCAGGAUGGUACUGGCACAUCUAACAUCUACAUUUCUCUAGCUCAGCCUCACAGGCCAAAGCAUCAGCACCAGAACGCACACCCAGCCCAGCCCCAAAGAGAAAGAAGAGAGCAAAAAGCUGCAGCCGGUGCUUGCACACCGCCUUGCACAUAGCAGAGGCUCCGGGCUCACUCCUUCCUGGUGGGAAAGGAAGAUGCCUGUCCUCUCCGUGGAAGACCCUGGGCCCUCACCGCAGGCAGCAGUUUGCGUUUUGAAAGGUUAUUGGGUCCCUUCCUCGGGCUGUGUUCUUGCUGGUGAGCAAAAGUGUUGCCUGCAGAAAUAAAAUGCAGAACGUACUCUACGAUAGAUCACAGUUUUUUAUUCUUAAUGUCACAAGCAGGAGAAAAAUCUCACAUUCAUACUAAAAAUUCCAACUAGACUCAACAGGAAUGAAGUCUCUAUUUGUAAUGGAAAGUCCCAGCCUCCCGCUGCCGUCCAGUGCGUGUACUGUACACAUCCACACUCAUUCUCACUCAGGGUUCCCGGACCGGCUGUCCUGCCUGCGGAACUGAGGUAAACUAGCUCAGGUACUGACACUAGGAGGGUCUACCUUACAUAAGGUACAGGUAGAAGCUUGAUUGCUAGGCCCAGGCCCACCCAGACCCUCCAAUCCUAACAGGUAUUUAGGCUUGAGGUUCACUCCCUCCUCAGCUGCACACGCAGCCAGGUAUUAACGAGGAUCAGAGCUGUUCUGAGGGGUGGGAAGGAGCAGCCCCGCCACCACUCACUCACCCUCAGUCACAUCGGGGAGGGGGCACCAGUUACAUUUACAUCACAUUAUUUAUAAAAUAAGAAUUACAUUUCAUAUAACAUGGCCAGAAGGAGCUCUAGUCCCCCAGGAAAGCUGCCGGGGACAGCAUUUGAGCCUCUUCUUUGCACAGGCAUAACUUAACUAUACAGCUAAUUCCUAGUUAAUAGCAUUUAUACUUAACCACCUCAAUGAACCAAGCUUGAAGGAAUUUAAAAGGCAAUUUAGCUUAAAUACAAAAAUAAAUUUUUGUUAAAAAACGUUUAAAUA
ensembl:lncRNA NSUN5P2 NSUN5 pseudogene 2